CAAAAAAAUACCACCAAGUAUUCUUGGUUGAGAAAAAUUUCCAAAUUUUUUCGGAGAAAAGUACUCUCUCAUGUUAGCACUGCUGAAAGACAAGAAAUUCAGAUGAAGAAAGCAAAUCUAAUCAGCAUGCUUGAUGAGGUGGAGCAAAGGUACAGACAGUACCAUCACUAGAUGGAGAUUGUGGUUUCCUCGUUUGAACAAGCUGCAGGGAUUGGCUCCGCUAGAACUUACACUGCCCUUGCACUGCAAACAAUAAGCGGUUUCGGUGUUUGAAAGAUGCCAUAACAGGUCAAAUUCGAGUUGCGAAUAAGAGCUUGGCAGAGGAGAAUCUAAAAGUAUUAUUUUUUUUUGUCAUAUUUGCCCUAAUAGGUGCAUCCAUUACUCGAUACAACGAGAGUACUUAUUUCCCCACUUAAUUGAUUUGAUUUAAACCUCGGUUCAUCCCAUCGAAUGCGAUUCGAAAUUAGACCACUGCACUAUCCUUUUGCCCAAUAAUCAUUCUCUCUUUUUCAUUAAUCUUCGAAGUUUCCUGGUAGAGAUGUAUUACUUCAGAGGAAAUUUGGGGAAAAGGUAGAGGAGAGAGAGAGAGAGUCUGGAAGGAGUUGAGAAAAAAAGAAAUUGUUUAUUCUUCCAAUCACAGUACAUCCCACGUGUCUGACUCUGUUCUCUUUUUAUUACAAUUGUGAACCAUUCUAAGUAACCUUUACAUGCUCAUUACAUGUCAUCUCUAAAUCUAAUUGGUUAAUCUUCUUCUUUCCUUUCCUUUCAGCAAUACUACGCUCUUGUUGUUCUAUUACCUCUGUUGUCUUUGUAACUUCAUCUUCAAUUUCUACUUCUUGGUGCAUUCCUGUAUCAAUACCUCCACCAUUGAAAAUAAUCUUGUCCUCAAGAUUGAAGGUAGAGAACUGUUGCUGGAACUUAUGUACCGGCUCCCAAGUAGUCAAUUCUAGUGAUAUUCCAUCCCACAACACCUAAACUCAGUGUUCUGGCGAGAAGCAAGGAUCUGUUUUGGUUGGAGAACUGGUAAACCAGCACUGAACAUAUCAGGCAAUGGAAAUAGAGGAAAAAGUCCAAAGUAACGACGACCAAGCUUGUUGAUUUUGCGAAGGGCAACUGAUUGCUACAUGUAAGGGUGAAGUCGAACCCACACUAGAUCACUUGUAUAUCUUGCCUAUGUACAUCUGCUUGUUGUUUCAUAUGUCACUGAGCCUUCUCCAAGUUACUUUUGAGCUGCUGGAUCACUAGAUAUCUAUCAAUGAGUAAUGAAUCAACCUCUAGAAGCGUUGCUGCAAUGGGAACAUAGUCUAAAAGUGAGGGUGGUUCACGUCCAUAUACCAACUUAAAGGGGGACAUGCCUGCUGCUGAAUGAAAGGCAGCGUUAUAACAAAACUCUGCCCAUGGCAAAAAUUUGGAUCAUUGCUUUGGAGAAUCAACUAUAAAGCAUCUUAAGUACUGUUCAAGCACUCUAUUCAUCACUUUAGAUUAGCCAUAUGAUUGUGGAUGAUAUGUACCACUCAUUUGAAAUAGCUCCACCCAAAAUUUGCUCAAAAAAUUUUGUCCCUAUCCGAGAUGAUAGAUCUUGGAACGCCAUGAAGCUUACAAACCAUAUGAGUGAAAAUGUUUGCCACCUUCACUACAUCAUAAUUCUUAGGCAAUAUACCAAAGUGCGCCAUUUUUGAUAACUUGUCAACAACCAACAGAAUUGUGGUACAUCCACAAGAA